rnacentral:lncRNA from 1 species
UAAUCGCGCAAACAAAGCAAGCGGGGAACAAAGAAUCUACACAACAGAUUUUGUAUUACAGAAAGGCUUCUUCUAUUCAAGCGGUUGCGGAAUUUCUUUUUGUAUUCAUUUUCGAAUUUCAUUCAUGUCGAUUUCUCUGUGUUUGUUAUGACGGGACAUGAGCAUGGAGGCGAGCAAAUUAUGAUUAAGAUUCAAUUUUUUCAUUACUAGUGCUUUGUUGUAGAGAAAUUAUGUAUUGUUACUGAUUUGGUUUGGUUGAAGUCAAAAAUCCCCUUCACAACUCUUUUCGUUGUUCUAUAUCUCUCAUCUUAUAGCUUUUCUCCUGAUAAAAAUCAAAUAAAUAUAUAUGUAAUCUGAAUAAUCUUUUCAUAUAUGUAAGUUGAACCAGUGUAUGUUGAAAACAACUAAAACUAAUGAAAGUACGAAUUCGUAUCCAAUCAAUCCGAAUAAAAUAAAGAAUACAUUUAAACUACUUGGGAGCUCUUCUCGGCUUCGAACAUGGAUUCAUUUAAACGGCGGUAGAUAAAAUGCGAAACCCAAGCCACCAACAUAAGAAGCGCGGUAGCAGCCCCACCGACCAUCACAAGAUUAAGAACCAGGAGCGGUCGUGUGAUUUUUGAGCUUGGUGACAUUGCUUUAGCAUUAGACGGAGAACCUGACGGCGAGGAUGGAGAAGGAGAGGGGCUUGGACUGACUACUGGAGCUUCUAUUUCGAGGGCAUUGAUCUUGAUUUUAAUCUUUUGGCCGGCUUUGCAGUGACCAGGUUCACCGCAAAUAACAUAGUAGGUGCCGGGUAUAUCAAAAGUUAAGGCGGUAAAGGUACCGUAAUGAGAUAGGGGAAGUGAUGGAAUACAAUAGUCAUAAUCUGCUUGAGUGACUAUCAUCACAAAAUCAUAUUCAUGUUUGUAAUUAAAUAUGAACUCGUCGCCCACAUAGAAUUUUUUCGAUGAGGCCCACUUGUUGUAAUCAACCGCGCCACUGUCAGUCCACCCUUCCAAAUCGCCGCCAACCGUAUAAACGGUAGCGGAGCAAGCACCAAAGAAAAUCAUCAUAAUGAUGAAACUCACGGCAACAGUGUUUCUUAGAUCCAUGACUAAAACAGUAAACAAUAAACAAGCAAUUAGGAGAGCAGAAAGCAAAGAGAAUGAAUGAAUGAAAUUUAGAUGAAAGGCAAUAAUGCGUGAGCAUGCAUAUAUAUAGAUAGAUAGAUAAAUAUAGUUAGUGUCCCAAACGGAAAAUGUUUCCCAAAUCCAGUUGGAAAACGGUUUAUAAAAUCAGACAAGUACUAGGAAUUCCAUUUAGGAAUAAUAUUGCCCAAGCUUAAUUAAUAAUCGAAUUCCAAUUUUCUGGCGUUUUGUCGGCUGCUUUUGCUUCCAACUUCUGCUUGCUUCCAUGUAUGAUGAAACAUUUUAUUUUAUUAUAAAAGGAUUUUUUUAUAUAGGCGCCUCAGUUUUGAAUUUUCUGGAUCAAACAUCCAUACCUUUUAGUGAUUUGAUUAAACUUUUUUUUAUCAUAAUUUUGGUACUAUAUGCACAUUAUAUCGUAACAAAUUUCCUAUAAUCUAGCCUUUUGAUUACACUCUCCUUCGUUAGAGAUAAUCGUAAAAAAAAAAAAAAAAAAAAAAGAAGGCUGGUUAGAUUCAAUUUAUUUUCACAAUAAUGCUACAAUUUAGCAAUAAUUAUCUACGAUUUAAGAUAUUUUCUUUCCAAAAUAGUUUAAAAUAUUUUUAAAUCCCACAAAAUCAAAUAUACUGAAAUAGUACGUUAAGAGAAAAUAGGAUUGGGAAUAAUAUAAAUGUACCAAUACACAAUGUGUACACAAUAAAAAUAAUGUACCAAUAUUAACAAUAUGUAUCAAAUCAAAUGUACCAAAAUUGCAAAUAAACGUACCAAUUAAUGACUUGUGUAAAUUCAAGCUUACCCAUAGAUAAUAUAUACGUAAUGUAUUGUACCUAAUAAUAAUUCGUUAACAACUAUACUUAAAAAAAACAGCAAAAAAAAUAUAAUUUCACAAAAAAAUUGAAAAAAUUACACGGAGCUUUUAUGUUGAUAACCAACUAUUUGAAAAUAAAAAAACCAUUUGGAAAAAGAAGUAAUAUUAAGGGGGGUGUAUUCAAUUGAGAAUGAGAGACAUUUUAAUGGAUUUAUAAAUCCAUGGAUUUUUAUGGAGUUUAAUUGAUUUGUAGAGAUUCCAUAUAAAAUUUUGAUUCAAUUCCCUCGAAAUCUCAUGGGAAUAGGUGAGAUUUGUGGAUACUUAAAAUACACUACGAAAUCUCUCAAAUUCCCUCUAAUUCCCCAACUUUCUCAAAUUCUUUAAAAUCAAUUUCUAAUUGAAUACACCUGGAAUGUUAUAAACUUCUUUAAAAUCUUAAUUGAAUACACCUGGAUUUUUAAGGAUUUUAAUAAACUAUUUUAAAAUUCUAAUUGAAUACACCUAGAAUUUCAGAGAAUCACUUAAAAUCCUUAUUGAAUACCCCUAGAUUCAUUAAAAGAAUUAAAAUCCCUUAAAAUCCCAAUUGAAUACACCCCCCUAAAUGUUUGCAUAACAAAAAAAUAAAAAUAAAAUUUGUGAUCGAAAAAACAUAUCUGGAAGAAGAGAAAAUAUAGUUUAAUUACUAAUAUCUCCAUUAAAUAAGGAAAAGUGCAUCAUACAGAUAAAAUGAUAAAUUCAAAAUUUAUUUUAAUUUUAAAAAUAUAAUAAUGACAUGUAAUUUAGCUUGAGGUAGCUAUUGGUCAAAGCACUUUAAUCAAAUUUUAAAAAGGCACAAAUAUUUAAUCUAAAUGAUAUAGAAAAACUGUAGGGGAUUCUAAUUUUCUCUAGGGUAAAUGACAAAAAACGACCUCAACUAUUGGUCUCACGACACUAUCAUACCUCAAUUUUUAAAAUUGACAAUGUCAUACCUCAUCUUUAGAAUUUGGUCCAAUGUUAUACCUUCCGUUACUUGGCCGUGAAUUUUUCAGUUAAAUGUUGAUGUGGCUUGAUUCGGGGCCCAUUUUCUAUUAAAAAAUUAAUAAAAUAUUAUUAAAAACUAAAAAAAAUUAUUUAAUAUAUUUGAAAAUAUUAAAAUAAUAAAGAAAAGUUAUAUAAAAAAUAAAAAACCCCUCUCUCUCUCUCAACAAAAAAAAAAUUUGAAAACCCAUCAACCCGUAACAACGCCCCCCCUGAAGAAGAAGAAGAAGGAAAAAAAAAAACCCAACCCCCUGCAACCCAUAAAGAAGAAGGAGGAAGAAGAAGACCCAAAAAGAAGAAGGAGGAAGAAGAAGAAGAAAAAAAAAACCCAAAUCAAACCCAGUUCGUUCCCCCCCCACCCACCCCUCCCAAAAAAAAACCCAACCCCCUUGCAACCCAGAAAGAAGAAGGAGGAGGAAGAGGAAGAAGAAGAAGAGAAAAAAAAAAACCCCAACCCCCUGCAAGCCAGAAAGAAUAAGGAGGAAGAAAAAGAAGAAGAAGAAAGAAAAAUAAAAAAACCCAAACCAACCCACACCCCCCCCCCUAAACAAAACAAACCCAACCCCCUGCAACCCAGAAAUAAGGAGGAAAAAAAAAAAACCCAAACCAAACCCAGUUCGACCCCCCCAACACACACACACAAACCCAACCCCCUGCCAACCCCAAAUCCACCACUCCCAUCCAUUCUCCACAUCCUCUUCCGCACCCAUCCUCCACCUUCUUUGUGCACCCAUCUUCCCAUCAUGAACCCGGCGAUGGCGAUGUAGACAGGAUCAAGGUUUCUUUUUAAUUUUUUUUUUUCUGGGUUGCAGGUGGUGGGUGCAAAUGGUUUAGGGAAGACGGGAGUGGGGAAGAAAGGGGUGGGUUGCAGGAAAUGGGGUCAGAUGGGUUUUUUUUUUCUUUCUGGGUUGCAGGUUGGGGGAAGAAGAUGAAGAUUGGGGGGGGGGGGGGAGGGGGAGGGACGAACUGAGGGUUUUUUUUUUUAUAUAACUUUUCUUUAUUUUUUUUAGUUUUUAAUAAUUUUUUAAUAGAAAAUGGGCCCCAAAUCAAGCCACGUCAGCAUUUAAUUGAAAAAUUCACGGCCAAGUAAUGGAAGGUAUAACAUUGGACCAAAUUCUAAAGAUGAGGUAUGCCAUUGUCAAUUUAAAAAAAAUGAGGUAUGAUAGUGUCGUGAGACCAAUAGUUGAGGUAAUUUUUUGUAAUUUACCCUUUUCUCUAUUAUAAAUCACAGUGAAGAAGUGAGAAUCAAACUCGGGCCUCUGGAUUGCAUGAUGCAAAUGUGGUGCAUAAAAAGAUUUCAAUUUCUCAUUACCAUAUGAGAAAAAGAAGAGGAAUUUAUCCAAUCUGUUUGUACUAAUUGUAGCAAAAGACUUAAUAACUUGUUCAAAUUUAUUAGACAAUAAUUUUUGUUGAAUAAACAAUAUUAUCUACAUUAAGGGAGUAGAGAAGUGGGCUAAGCCUCACAAUGGCUAAUAAUAAUGUGGUUCAAAUUCACUACCACAUUAAGGGAGUAGAGAAGUUGGGCCUGGCAAAGGCUUAACGUUCUUUUUAGGGUAAAAGACUGUUUACUACCCUCAUGUUUCGUGGUUUUCAACAUUUAGUACAUCAUGUUUUUUUCGUCUCAGAGUCAUACCUAAAGUGUAAAUUUUGGGACAGUCUCAUCAUCCGUUAGUCAAACUGUUAAGUUUUUCGUUAACUGUGACGUGGCGCACUGAGUGGGCGCCACGUGUCAUCCACGUUUUUUUUUUCUUUUUUCUUUCUUUUCUUUUCUUCUUCUUCCUCCGACUGCAACUUUCUGUUUUUUUUUUUUUUUUUUUUUUUUUUUUGCUUCUUCCUUUUCCUUCUUCUUCCUCCGAAAUCUGGGGAAUGUUUUUUUUAUUUUUUUUUCUUCCUUCCCCUUCUUCCUUCUUCCUUCCCCUUCUUCCUUCUUCUUCCUUCUCCUUCUUCUUCUUCUUCUUCUUCCUCCGAAAUCUGGGGAAGUUUGUUUUUUUUUUUUCUUUCUUUCUUCUUCUUCCUCAUUCUUCUUCUUCUUCUUCCUAAAAAAAAAAAAAAAACACUUUUAUCUUUUCUUCCUCUUCUUCUUCUUCUUCUUUCUCUUUCCUCCUUCCUUCUUCUUCUUCUUCCUCCGAAUCUGCCCAGAUUCAAUUUUUUUUUUCUUCCUCCUUCUUCUCCUUCUUCCUUCCCCUUCUUCGUUCUUCUUCUUCUUCCUCCGAAUUUGGGGGAAGUUGAAAGUGUUUUUUUUUUUUUUUUUUUUUUUGAGGAAGAAGAUGAAGAAGAAGAAGAAAGAAAAAAAAAAAAAAAAACAUUCCCCAAAUUUCGGAGGAAGAAGAAGGAAGAAGAAGGAAGAAGGGGAAGAAAGGGAAAGGAAGGAGGAAGGAAGGAAGAAGCAAAAAAAAAAAAAAAAAAAAAGCAGAAAGUUGCAGUCGGAGGAAGAAGAAGAAAAGAAAAGAAAGAAAAAAGAAAAAAAAAAAACGUGUAUGACACGUGGCGCCCACUCAGUGCGCCACGUCACAGUUAACGAAAAACUUAACAGUUUGACUAACGGAUGUAUGAGACUGUCCCAAAAUUUACACUUUAGGUAUGACUCUGAGACGAAAAAAAUUGAUGUACUAAAUGUUGAAAACCACGAAACAUUAGGGUAGUAAACAGUCUUUUACCCUUCUUUUUAACUCAUACUUGCUAUUUUGGGUAUUUAUUUUAGUAGAAAUAAACUGUGGUUGACCCAAAAUUCAAAAGUACUUUUGAUGUGGCAGGUUUGGGUAGUGAGCUCACCAUCGUUCGCAUAAACAAAACAAAAGUUUACUCAGCCAAGUUUCUCAAAGAAAAAUGCUUCAAGAUCUGUAAAUUCGAGAGGAUCAAAGCUCAAGUAUCCAAGAUAGGGCUCAUCUUUUGACGAACGUCACAUCUCCAACUUGGAUGAAAAAGAAUGAACCGAGUUAGGAAAUCUUAAUUCUAGAAGAAGAAAACUUCUAUAAGAGGCAACAGAAGGAUUAGAGAAAGGGACACCGAUCAACUCAAGCCAAAAAGACUUCUAAAAGCUCUACAACUUACUUUUCAAUUAUUCCUUUUUUAUCUCAAACAUUCAUUUGUAUCUAUACCUCUACUACUUCCCUUUUGUAAGAUCGAUUCCCUUUGUAGAACCCCUUCAAUAGCACAUUGCCCGCAUAGCACGAACUUGCCCGACAAGCUUGGAAACUUGCCUGAAUAUGUUGAAAACUUGCCCGAUGGCUUGUAUUUGUCAUUUAUUUUCAUGUUAUUGUCAUUAUGCUUUGUUCAUUACACAUGUUAUAAAUGUUUCUUGAACAUUUGCUAGUAUAUUCCUUUGUUUAUGUAUUGUGCUUUAUUUUUUUGCAUCUUCCCUUUACCCAAAGAUUGCUGAUUGGUUCAAAGUCUCCUUUGAUCAGUUUGUGAUCCUUGUUCUUUGGUAUUUAACAUGAGAAAAUUAUAAAGUCCUUGUCUUCAAGGCAUAGAAAAGAAGGCCGGUUUCUUGCGGUGCAAGUAAAUGGCUUAUUAACAAUUUAAAACAAAUAACAUAUUGGUCUUGGCCAACUGGCACGCUGGACAAAAUCACUAUUUUUACAAAAGAGCCUAUGAACCUACUCCAGGCUUGACUAUUGGCUAAAGCACCUCGUGCUAACAAGAGUUCACCACUCACUUUCAGAGGGAGCUUGUGUGAGAAUCCUUCAUCCUUACAGUCUGUAUCCUUAAUUCCAUUUGGUCAACAGUUUAUUUAAUCCAAAGUUCCUAGCCCUUAUUUUUCACUUGCUUGGCAUCAACUAUAAAAACGGAUAUUUAACCGAUUGUAAUAGUCAACCCCCUGUUAUUAUCGACGUCCCAUGACAUUUUAUCCACACCAACAUUAAAAAGCUGUCUGAUUCCCAUUUUCUUCGUACUUGGAAACAAAACAUUGGUUCUUAAUUUCUGUUCUUUCCUAACUUCUUGUAAUUACUCCAAGUCCACACCAAUGGCUCUAUCUAGGCUUCCUCCAAAAGAGAGGCCAGGUCAAAGUUAAGAUAUUGUCCAGUCUUGUCAAGUUGGUGGUGAGAGUAGCUUCGAAAGUCGGGAGAGGGUUGAGCCGCCGUAGAAAGGUGGCGACACAGGUUGUGCAGGGUGCAGCCGGAUAGCGAUCAAAUUAAUCACGUAUAGUUCAUACCAGCAUUGAUGUGUUUAGCCUCAUAAUGUUGGGAUGAGGAUCAGGAGAUGUCCAACAAUUCCCCAUAAUUCAAUUUUGUCAACUAUAAAAAGAUUGGUAUAAUUUUGCAAAGGUGGGAAGACAAAAGGAGAAAUCUUGAAAGAGGAGAAUGGAACUAGUGGAAUUUAUGUGGUUGGUUGGCAUUUUAUAUAGUUGGAGUUUUGGAGUUGCUUCAUUUUCUAAAUUAUCAACCAGACUUAGUUUGGAUUAUAUAAAAAAAAUUAAAACUUUAAUCUUCAUAUCUAACUCUAAAAUAGUCACUUAGUACUAUGGCCUAGUGGUAUUUCUUUUCACUUGUAAGUGAGAGGUCUUAGGUUUGAUUCUCACCAAAGGCAAGUUUGAAUCAUAUUAUUGCUAGCCAUUAUGAGUAUAAGCUAACCCCCUCCCCCUUAGUGUAGAAAAUAUCAUUUGUAAAAAAAUUUAAAAAAAAAAAAAAAAAACUCCAAAACAUAAGGAUUAAUUCAUUUUAUUUUUAACUGUAUGUAGUUGUAUGUGUUUAUAUAUCAUAAUUAACCUCAUACUUGUGAUUUUGGGUAUUUAUUUUAGCAUAUAUGAAUAGUGGUUGGCCCAUGAUUCAAGAGUACUUUAGACAUGGCAUGUUUGGGCGGUAAGCUCACCAACAUUCAUAAAGAAAGCUUACUCAGCCGAGUUUCUCAAAGAAAUGUGCUAUACUGUGGUAUGAUUUGUAAAUUCGGGAGGAUCAAAGCUCGAGUAUCCAAGUGGGAGCUCAUCCUCUGACAAACGUCACAUCACCAACUUGGAUGAAAGAGAAUGAACUGAGUUAGGAAAGCUUAAUUCUGGAAGAAGAAAACUUCUAUAAAAGACAAUAGAAGGAUUAGAGAAAGGGACAUUGAUCAACUCAAGCCACAAAGACUUCUAAAAGCUCUGUAGCCAACAUUUCAAUUAUUCCUUUUGUAUCUCAAACGUUACUUUGUAUCUAUAGCUUUGGUACUUCCCUUUUGUAGUAUCGAUUCCUUUGUAGAACCCCUUCAAUAAUACAUGGUUCGCAACUGCACGAACUUGCCCAACAUGCUUGGAAACUUGCCCGAAUAGGUUGAAAACUUGCUUGAUGGCUUGUAUUUGUCAAUUAGUUUCUUGUUAUUGUCAUUAUGCUUUGUUUAUUACUCAUGUUAUUAAUGUUUCUUAAACAUUUGCUAGUAUAUAUUCCCUUGUUUAUGUACUGUGCUUUAUUUUUCUGCACCUUUCUUUACUCAAAGAUUGCUGAUUGGUUCAAAGUCUCCUUUGAUCAGUUUGUGAUCCUUGUUCUUUGGUAUUUAACACAAUAAAAUUAUAAAGUCCUUGUCUUUAAGGUAUAGAAAAGAACCAAAGUAUAGAUUUAACCCCUCCAGAAUAACAAUACUUUGAGAGAAGGUCAGUUUCUUGUGGCGCAAGCAAAUGGCUUAUUAACAACUUAAAAACAAACAGCUAUUGGUCUUGGCCAGCAGUGGCAUGCCUGGAAAAAAUCACCAUUUUUACAAGAGAGACUACUCAAGAUUGACUAAGACACAUUGUGCUAACAAGAGUUCACCACUCCAUCCAAACCGUCUGUAUCCUUACAUUUGGUCAACUCUUUUUUAAUCCAAAGUUCCAAACCCUUAUUUUUCACUUGCUUGGCAUCAACUGUAACAACGGAUAUUUGACCGAUUGUAAGAGUCAACCAUCUGUUAUCGUCGACGUCCUAUGACAUUUUAUACUCCCACACCAACAUUAAAAAGCUGUCUCAUUCCCAUUUUCUUUGUACUUGGAAACAAAACAUUGGUUCUUAAUUUCUGUUCUUACCUAACUGCUUGUGUUACUCCAGUCCACACCAAUGGCUUUAUCUAGGCCUCCUCCAAAGAGAGGCCAGGUCAAAGUUAAGAUAGUGUCCAGCCUUGUCAAAUUGGCAGUGAGAGUAGCUUCGAAAGUCGGGAGAGGGUUGAGCUGCCGUAGUAAGGUGGCGACACAGGUUGUGCAGCCGGAUAGCCAUCAAAUUAAUCGCGUGUAGUUCAUACGAGCAUUGAUGUCUUUAGCUACGCUGCAUAUGUUAUAGUAGCGUACUGCAGUACUAUUUGUAUUAGUAGAGCACAUGCAUGCUCUAAAAAAUGCAUGAGAAAGGUUGUAAUACGGUGUGCUUUUGGUUUUAUGUAUUGAUCCUACCAUAAGUUCAUAAUAAAAACUUUUUUUUUGUUCUUACUCUUUAUAUUCUUAUGGAGGAUGGAGAGUCCUAUUCUUGUAGACGACGUACUCUUUGUUGUUCGGAUUGGCUUUUAGAGUACAACGGUGUUUCACGAACAUGAAUUUCGAGCUAUCUGUUAUCUGGGUUCCAAAUUCAACCGUGCUUUUUGGAAUGAUCUAAGUAUGCAACAGAUAUAUCUAAUGUAUCUGUUUCAGUUUAUCAAAAUGUGGAUGCAACCUUAACGGGAUGACUCGUUGAAGAAUGUAAAGUCUCACAUCGGAAAUCUUACAAAAUAAAAUACAAUUUAUGCUGACUGGUUCCGCUACUAAUGAAGUGGAGACAUUUCGUAUAAACUCCACACCCUGUUUACUUAAUUUUACCUGAGUUUUUCUUUGUCAUUUAUUCGUUUUAUAUUUUCACAAGAAGUUUCUGCAAUUUUAAGUACAGUUGUAAACUGAGCAAAUAUAUGGGUAACAAGGUUGAUCCAGUCGUGCAAAUUUGAAGCCCUUUUUUAUCCUAGACAGUAUCUAUGACCAUAAAGUUUUAUCCUAGACAGUAUCUAUGACCAAGAACGACAAUUCUUUGCAGUUGAAGCCGAUAAACCGUUCAUUUUAUCAGAAGGGUUAAAAACUCAAAUAUUUUUUUUUGUUAUCAUGAAGUGUGGUGUUGAUAUUAGGGAGCAUCUGUAUGGAAAUAUUGUCUUCAGUGGAGGCUCCACUAUGUUCCCUGGAAUUGCUGAUAGGAUGACCAAAGAGAUUACAGCCUUGGUUCCAAGUAGCACCAACAGAUUUUGUAUUACAGAAAGGCUUCUUGUACUUCUCUGUAUUAUGACGGGACAUUAGCAUGGAGGCGAGCAAAUUAUGAUUAAGAUUCAAUUUUUUCGUUACUAGU